rnacentral:rRNA from 1 species
UACGUAGGGUGCGAGCGUUGUCCGGAAUUAUUGGGCGUAAAGGGCUCGUAGGCGGUUUGUCGCGUCGGGAGUGAAAACCUCGGGCUUAACUCGGGGCUUGCUUUCGAUACGGGCAGACUGGAGGUAUGCAGGGGAGAACGGAAUUCCUGGUGUAGCGGUGAAAUGCGCAGAUAUCAGGAGGAACACCGGUGGCGAAGGCGGUUCUCUGGGCAUGACCUGACGCUGAGGAGCGAAAGUGUGGGAGCGAACAGG